GGCUGAUCAGAGUGCAGCGAUGCUUGCAACUAUUUGAUCACAACCAGUUAACAACUAUUUGAUCAUAACCAGAUUUCUUUGUUCCUUCUCUACUUCCACUGCUUCACUUGACUAGACUCAA
ensembl:misc_RNA Y_RNA Y RNA